ACAACUUUCAGCAACGGAUCUCUUGGCUCUCGCAUCGAUGAAGAACGCANCGAAAUGCGAUAAGUAAUGUGAAUUGCANAAUUCAGUGAAUCAUCGAAUCUUUGAACGCACCUUGCGCUCCUUGGUAUUCCGAGGAGCAUGCCUGUUUGAAUGUCAUUAA
rnacentral:rRNA from 1 species